GGUAGCUUGGAGGGGGGCUUUAUUUAGCACCCCCAUAACCAUCAUCAGCCUCUCAUCAUAAUUACCCCAAACAGAAUGCAACCCAGGUAGAACGCUGCGUGCUGUUCAAACUCAGGUAGAAGUCUGUCUCACUCUUUACAAACCACUCAGAAAUGGGACUUCGACGCUGGGCAGCUGGCCGUGGUGUCACUGAAUUGACAGGAGGAACAGAGGAGAGAGGCCUGCGGCCUCCCGCGGGGGUGCUGCUCGUUACCUCUCCCGCUCCUGCUCCAGCAGCCCAGAGCACGUGAGGCAGUGACCCCAAUCCUGUGAACUUACUUCUCUGACUCUCCAAGCCCCCUGCCAAGCCACCGCUACUCGGAAACAGCCUGGAGCAUGACUUCUUGCAACGCACUUUGAAAUGGAUAAAAUAUGGGCUCGUGGACAUCUGUCUGUUAUUUCCUGUACUCGCAGCUUUGUGCUUCUCUAUUACCAGAGAAUUCUAUGGAUGACGUCACUUUUCUCUGAAGAGAACAGACCAUCAGAGCUUUUCACUGACAUAAUUAAUUAUCUAGCUUGAUACUAGCUUGAUUCUGGGCCGGAAACUUCUCCAGGCACAAGCCCCCAACAGAAUGAACUCUACUGU